GGGUGUGUAUUUUAUAAGAUUGAAACGUAGCCCUUAUCUCAGACAGUCAGGUGCACAUUGCAUCACUUUCGUUUUUGGUAAUAUGGCUCAAGUUUUGGUUUGCUUGUCAAGUGCGCCAUAAGUUUCGUUUUCUCCUCAGUUUCCCAAAUCAGGCGUGCUAUUUUGUGAUUUUAAACCUACAUUGAACCACACUGCUAACCUUAUGCCUAUUUUAUUUAAAUUCUGACCAAAAAGCUAAUUGUUAUAAAUUGUAUUUUAAUGUUUAAGGACUCUUGGAAGAUUAGUCCAAAUGAGGACUAAAAGCGAUCCUAAUAAAAUACGCAGUGACACACUGGAAUUACGUAAUUUGUCGGUGAAUGUCUCUGGUUGCAUUCCAAACACUUAAAAUACACACCCUCAGCCCUCAAAAUAAGUGGACACUUCUGAUGACGUAUCAUGACGUCUGACGAGUAUACACUUGCAGGACAAGGGGCGACAGAGGAAGGAAUGAUUUUUAAAUGGACUGCCCUUUCCCGGAAAUUCGUCACUCGUUCAUCCCUCGAUGAUUGUGUUUUCAGCCACCGGUAGCUUGUUGGUGCCAUUUAUGCUCUACAGUCAAUUAUGAUUGCAUAUAUACUUAUAUUAACUAUAUAAUUAUUAAUAUAUGCCUACUGUCUGAUAGCUAGCAAAUUAAUUAGCUAAUUAACGUUAGCCUGCCUAGCUGGAACUUCUGAAGAAUGAUUUUUUUUUCUACAAUUUCCAAAAGCUAACCAAACAAAAACAUUACUUUUACGAGACGUGUUUGUGCUGUCAUUUGGGUUAGUAGCACAAUUUCUAAUCUUUUUACAGUUGCUUUUACUUACACUUGUAUGUUGACUUAUCCAUAUUGAUGUUGAGGUUUGAAGUUUCGGCAGACUUUUCUUAGCGGAUGCACAAUCAUUGCUAAUUGAAUUAUGGGGCGUUUCAGGCCCCGAACUGAACAUAAUUGUACACUCGCAAACUCGACUGAGGGGCUUACGUUGCUUGGCUAAUCAUUUGGACCGACGACAAAUAUGACCGCGGGGAUUCCCCCAAGGACAUACUGCAAGGCGAUUCGUUGCACUCACCUGGACUUCAACACCUGUGUCAUUACCUCCCCUAUAUUUGUCUGUUCCCCACUUCCGCAUUGAUUGUCGUAUGUCGUUUUGUUCCCCCGGUUCUGGAACUAUUCCUGUCCUGUGCAAGAUUAAAAUGUUCACUCUCCGUACUUGCUUCUCAUCAUCACCGUCGGUUCUUACAGAAUGCGGAAGCCACCAAAUGAAGCAUCGGAGAGUGUUGGCUUUUCGGUGCCUUAGUUGGCUCGUUGGGCUUCCACACCCUAGCUGGCUCGAGAGGUUUUCUUGCCCCGGUUGGCUCGGCAGGCACCCAUCCCACAUCAGGCCUCCGCCGGAUCGUCAGGGUUUUACGCCUCCGCCGGAUCAUCAGGCUCCCACUUCUCAGCUGGUUCAUCAGGCUCCCACGUCCCAAGCGGGAUCAUCAGGCUGUCACACCUCAACCAGAUUGUCAGGCUGUCACACCUCAACCAGAUCGUCAGGCUGUCACACCUCAACCAGAUCGUCAGGCUGUCACACCUCAACCAGAUCGUCAGGCUGUCACACCUCAACCAGAUCGUCAGGCUGCCACGCCUCAGCUGGUUCGUCGGGCUUCUAUGCUCUCAGCCAGCUGGUCCAGCGCCCUGCCUCGGCCGGCCCGUCAGGCUUGUCCAAGUGGGAUGCCAGGUGGCACCCCUAGAGGGGGGGGGGGGGACUGUCAUGCCUGCUCCCACUCACCCUCCCUGGCUGCCCAGUACUACGCACUCCUGCCACCAUCAUUAUGCACACCUGCUUCCCUCGUCACGCGCAUCUGUGAGUCAUUGCACUCACCUGGACUUAAUCACCUGUGUCAUUACUUCCCCUAUAUCUGUCUGUUCCCCAGCUCUGUUCCCCUUCCGCAUUGGUUGUCGUAUCUCGUUUUGUUCCCCCGGUUCUGACGCUUUUCCUGUCCUGCUCCAUGUCUGUGCAAGAUUAAAUGUUCACUCUCCUUA